GUUCAUUAGACAAAAUACCUCACAGCUAUUUAUUGGGCACUAUGAUUUGGCGGGUUAGUUCUUUUGUUCUAAUUUGUGAACACUUUAUCAUGGAAUUCAUUUUGAAUUCCUAGUUACACGAAACAGGCUGUUCACUUAGGAUUAAUAUCACUUUGGUUGCAAGUCUCUUGCAUAAGAUGGAUGAGCCCAGAUGAAAGUUCAGUCCUACACCUGAAGGAAGACAGUUUCAUUUUAGUUGUCAGAUAAUGAUGUACCCGUGACGUCCAGGAUCAGAAAGUGAGAUGGAGGAGCCCAGACGAAAGUUCAGUCCUAGACCUGAAAGAAAAUUGUUUUAUUUUAGCUGCCAGAUAAUGAUUAUGCAAAAAGAGCAUAGACACAGAAAAUUGGGCCAUUGACACAGAUCUGGAAAGAAGCUUAAAGGAAGUCCAAAGUUUAAUUCCAGAUGGCAGAUGAGAAGCAAGUCCAUGGAAGAUGUUUACUUAGAUCUUCAACCAAUUCCGAGGCUUUGCCAUGUAAGCAAUCAAGCAGCAAGGAUAGCAGCUGGAAUGAAGAUUAAUUAUUACAUUGAUCUUCAAACAAAGCUGAGGCUUUGU